rnacentral:tRNA from 1 species
GCCGGAGUGGUGGAAUGGCAGACGCGGCGGACUCAAAAUCCGCUGGGGGCAACCCCGUGCGGGUUCAAAUCCCGCCUCCGGCACCA